rnacentral:rRNA from 1 species
GACGAACGCUGGCGGCGUGCUUAACACAUGCAAGUCGAACGGAAAGGCCCUGCUUUUGUGGGGUGCUCGAGUGGCGAACGGGUGAGUAACACGUGAGUAACCUGCCCUUGACUUUGGGAUAACUUCAGGAAACUGGGGCUAAUACCGGAUAGGAGCUCCUGCUGCAUGGUGGGGGUUGGAAAGUUUCGGCGGUUGGGGAUGGACUCGCGGCUUAUCAGCUUGUUGGUGGGGUAGUGGCUUACCAAGGCUUUGACGGGUAGCCGGCCUGAGAGGGUGACCGGCCACAUGGGGAUGAGAAACCGGCCCAAACUCCUACGGGGGGAGGAGGGGGGGAUAUUUGCAAAUGGGGGGAAGCCCUAUUGAGGAACCCCGGGUGGGGGAUGACGGGCCUUGGGGUUGAAACCGGUUUUGCCCGGGAAGAAGCGGGAGGGACGGGAAAUGGUAAAAAAGCCACCGCUAACUACGGG